GCUCGACUACCUUUUCGCUAAGUCGUCAGGCUCUCUGUGAGCCUCCUUGGCUAUAAUGAGCGUCGUCAGGUCUCCUCUCUUUUGAGUUCUCUUUCUUGAGGCCUCCGAUCUAUAGAGCUCUGCUGGAUAUGAGUUACGGGUUGCAGGCACUCUUUCAGCUCCUCAUCAAAUAUCCUAAAGUGUUGGUCGUUGUCAGUCCUCCUCUCAAUAUGAGAGUCGUUAUGCUGAGGCCUCCGCUCCUAGAGCUCGGCUAGGCGGUAGGAAAUACUGUGCUAGGUAGUUAGGCUCUCUUUGAGCUUCUGUAACCCAGACUAAUUAAGGGUUAAAUAUAUAUAUUAAUAUAAAUGUAUGAGGUUCAGAAAAGUAAAUAAUUGAAGAUUGGCGAUAUUAAUAAAUACUUAAAAUAAAAUAAAUUGUGUGACAAAAAUAAUUUGUAAUAUUUAAACAAGUUAUAGUUUCAUCCAAUCAGAGUUCUUUUGAUAUGGACUGCCCACUUGCUGAUGCGGCAGAUUGCGCAAGACCUAAGAAGGAAGAAGACGGGAAAGAAAUUCGCUAGAUUUAGCUAUCAAGAAAGUAGAAAUAACGGAGUAAAACUUUGAAAAUAGUGUUUAAAACUCAAGUCAGUUGAAAGAGGAGAAUAUUGAGUGGAUUCAGUUGUUAUUUUACUCCUGUGACUAUCGAUGGGUGAAUUACAUCAUUGUAUUACUGGGAAGUGAUUAUCUGGAUGUGGUCAGGUUUUUUUCCUGAGGGGAGAUUGAUUUUCUUUGAUGGCGAGCCAACCUAUUCGGACACUGGAAAAGAAAGAAGAAAAUUCAUCCUAUAGGACCAGGAGAGUAUCGUGAUUUCAUUUUUUUUUUUUCCCCUGCUCAAGGUAAAACUAUUCCUGCAUAGAGACUGUGUUUUCUCCAUACGGGACUGAAACUGUCUGAGAUAACUAGAAGAAGGAACUGAUAUCAGUUAUUGAACAUUUGGAAAUUGAACUGGUCGGCGACGUGUGCGUGAUAUCACAAAAAUGUUGUUGAAUCUGGACAAAUUGUUGUCAUUCUAUUGUUUUCUAUUGUAUUCAUACUAUUCUAGUGUGAAACUGACAGUGAUUUGCUCUUAAGUGACUUGUUCUUUUAUUUCUUUUCAUCGAAUUGACGUAACUCACUUUGAAUUGCUUUUUAUUUAUUUUAUUGUUUACUUUCAAAAAGGGGAAAGGCCGGCAUUUAAGGGAACAUUUAUAAAAAAUCUACGUACUCACCUUAA